UACGUAGGGGGCAAGCGUUGUCCGGAUUUAUUGGGCGUAAAGAGCGUGUAGGCGGUUUGGUAGGUCCGUUGUGAAAACUCGAGGCUCAACCUCGAGACGCCGAUGGAAACCAUCAGACUAGAAUCCGGAAGAGGAGAGUGGAAUUCCUGGUGUAGCGGUGAAAUGCGCAGAUAUCAGGAAGAACACCCGUGGCUAAGGCGGCUCUCUAGUACGGUACUGACGCUGAGACGCGAAAGCGUGGGGAGCGAACAGG
rnacentral:rRNA from 1 species